UAAAGGUGAAGAAUUUGUCUCCUCUGUCCUGUGUCACUGUGGCAUGAAGCCAUGGAAAAUGCCUGCAGCCCACCAUCCUGGGGCCAGAUGUGAACUGAUGUCCCUUAGCACUGUCCGGGUAACCCGAGGGACACAUCUACAUCAUCAUCAUCGUCGUCGUCGUCGUCAUCAACCUCCUCGCUGUCACCUUCCUCUUCUUCCUCCUCCUCCUCCUCCUCUUCUUCCCAGGAGGGCAACUACAUGGGGAAGGAAGAAGUGGAUACGAGCAGCAGUGGUGAGCAAGCAAGUUGGUCAACAAAGAAAAAUCCAAGUAAGCAUCACUGUAAAACAAAUCACACUAGUAUUGACUAGUAUCGAGUGGUUUAAAACAAGCUGCAACUAAGACUCUGCAUGGUAACAGAAGUGAGAGCUGGAGCUGCAGCAGCCUUUUUGGAUUGUAAGAUGAUCCUGAGGAAGGAAGUUUUGAACCAAGGUGAGAAGAGAAGAGAGUCUUUGGUGAACAUGGAACCAUCUUACCAGCCUUGUACUGCCUAUCUCUGGAUGUCUUCUAUCCAAGACAGAAAUUAAUCUUGAGUGUGUUUGAGUCCCUGUGCUUGGGUAUCUGUUAUUGCAAGCACACCUAUUUAAAACAAAAAUGAAGUGAGAUGUACCACUUAGGGAGGGAUGCUGGCAAUGACCGAGGCUGUGUAUGUGUGGGGGUAUGAAGUAUAUUCCUUUCGAUUU